AAAGGACAUAAAUAUAGUCAAAAGGACAGUGGACAAAGCUAGAUGGUAUUGGUACACCUUGCCAUUCUUUAUUGGUCUCCAUUUGUCAUGACCAACGAUCUUCUUGUGAUGUUCCAGUGGCUUCUUGCUGCUUCCACAGAUUCCAGCCCAUUGGCAGCGCUGUUCAGUUUCUUCUGGAUCAAUCUGCUGUUGCUGAUUUGUGAAUGGUGUUUGUGAGUGGAUGGAGCUGCAGCUGCUGAUUUGUGUGAACUAAACUGCUGAUAUCCUGCCCCAAAGAUUGGAAUUGCCCCAAAGAACUGUUUCUGAACAGGUUCACACCCUGCUUUUCUCUACUAACCUUCCCUUUCUACUGCCUCUGGUGGGUGGUGUGCUAGAAGGGAGGAUGAAGAAUUUAAGAACCUUAUUAAAAGUAGGUUUUGAAAAAUCUGAGCCUGUGUGUGUGUGUGUGUGUGUGUGUGUGUGUGUGUAAGAAUAUAAAUAAAGCCUCAGAAACUAGAAAGGAGACCAAGAGUAGAAGACAUAUAGCUGAUGAAUAAAAAUAACAAAGGAACCCAUGGGACACAAAAGAAGAAGAGAAAUGGAGAAGUGGAGUUGCAGGAAGAAAUUGGGAGGAAAGGGUUUUGAAGAGAUAAAGGGAAAGGAAAAUCUAUUAAAACAAACUAUUUGAAGUAUCCUAAAGAUACUACAAAUAUCUUGCAUUCUAAAUUUUAAAAAUAAGUAUUUUAAAGAGUAUAGAUUUUAUGUUAUCUAUUCUUGCCUCAUUUUAAAAUAAAAUACCAACAACACCUAGUAGUACUCAUAUGAUAAUUUCUGCUUAGCUAAAAUAGAGAUUAAUAUGCUGUAAAAUUGAACAUAUUAUGUCCUUUUCAACAUAAUUACACACACAAGGGGAUUGAUGGCUUGGAGCAUCUCUGAAAUGUUCAGUACCAUUCUUUAUCUAUGUGCUUCCUAAGUUAUGGCUCAUGAGUUUAAAGACAAGAACAGCAGAAUUCUGAUAGUUCUGAGCCCUAGUUUUCAUGUUUUCAUCCAUGGGUAGGAAUGGAGGCUAAGCAAAUUUGUUUGUGACAGACUUUGACAACAGCGACAAAGUACUUGAGCAAAAUAACUCAAGAGACAAAAGAUCUACUGAUUUUUCCAGUAAUUACAGCAGUUUUGGUCUGUCCUUGAAGAAGGCAGCAUGAUGGAGCACCUCAAACCAUGACAACCACAACCAUGGGCUACUUCCUCCUUUUCCUUUGAUUCCUUUUGGGUCUCUAGUCUGCAGAAUGGUGUCAGUUGACUCAAAUCAAGUCUUUCUCCAUGGUUUCUCUUCUUUGAAAAUGGGCCUGACUCACCCUGAAGUAUGCUUUAUAAUCUUCUGAGUUUCUGUGGAAAGUCCUGAGAUUGACAUGGGCACAGCCAUCCUAAGGACCCGGAUGCCUCAGACCUGUGGAAGUGGUAAAACCUUCUCUGUGCGAGGCUCAGAAGGAAGGCAAAGUCUUACUCUGGUCCAAGUGUUGAGUGUUUAUCAAUGAC
rnacentral:lncRNA from 1 species